UACGAAGGGGGCUAGCGUUGCUCGGAAUCACUGGGCGUAAAGCGCACGUAGGCGGACUCUUAAGUCGGUGGUGAAAUCCUGGAGCUCAACUCCAGAACUGCCUUUGAUACUGAGGAUCUUGAGUUCGGGAGAGGUGAGUGGAACUGCGAGUGUAGAGGUGAAAUUCGUAGAUAUUCGCAAGAACACCAGUGGCGAAGGCGGCUCACUGGCCCGAUACUGACGCUGAGGCACGAAAGCGUGGGGGAGCAAACAGG
rnacentral:rRNA from 1 species